rnacentral:lncRNA from 1 species
GCGUGUACUCUUUUAACUUUACUCGUUCAAAAGUAUAUUUGUUCUGUUCUGGACUCAAAUGACUCAAAUACGCCACUGCUUAAAGAAUUCAUCCUGUCUGAUGAAAGAAAUUUGAUUAGACUUCUGAUUCAGAAGAGAUGGUUCACGUAAAGAUAAUUCUUGAAACAUAAUUUUGGUGGGUUAAAACAUAAUUUUAUUUUUACGCUUCUUUGAUCAGAGAAAAAAAUCGAUGUUGCAGCUAAACUUCUCUCUCUCUCUUUUUUUCUUUUUAAUUAAGUGGUGAUACUUUACCACUCAGCCUUGACCGAGUGGCUAGAACCACUAUUGUCUUGAUGAGAUAGGCGUGUGGGUGUAAUUCAACCUGUGGAUGGGCUAUGCCACAUGUAAAAUUCCCAGAGGGCAGCGUCGUUGCUUUUGCUGAGUGUUGUCUGAUUAAUUCACUGUUUCAACGCCGUUAGGCUUUUACAUAAUCUUAUGAAAUCGUGCCAUGUUUCUAAUUGUUUACCUUAUAAUGGGCAAAGUUGCUUGUUAGAUCUUUUCUGCUUGAAGUAAAAUCAAUUAGUAUGAAUGGUUAUUCUUUGACUGAUUUGUGAAUAAAAUCACUAAAUUUUUACAGCUUAGGUAUACUACCAUUUUCAAUGUACCAUCUGCCUCUAACAAGUAACAUGUGCAAAUAUUGGUAAAAAAUUUCUGCAGGUAAGAAUUCUUUCAUGUGGUUUGGUCCGACACCAAGGGUGAAUAUUAUGAAUCCUGAUCAAAUAAAAGCGAUAUUUACCAGGAUCAAUGAUUUUCAAAAAGUCAAUUCAAUCCCACUUGCCAGGCUGCUGAUAGUUGGAUUGGCUACCCUUGAGGGGGAGAAGUGGGCUAAACAUAGAAAACUCAUCAACCCAGCCUUCCACCAAGAGAAGCUCAAGGUUUAUUAAUUAACUUCUCCAUUUGUUUACAUAUCUUUGGAAGAUUCGAUUUUGCCCUCAUUUAGAUUUCUUGCUUUUGUUACAGCUUAUGUUGCCAGCAUUCUACUUGAGUUGUAUCGAAAUAAUUACAAAGUGGGAGAAGCAAAUGUCUGUAGAAGGAUCAUCUGAGUUGGAUGUAUGGCCUUAUCUUGCAAAUUUGACAAGUGAUGUGAUUUCUCGAACGGCUUUUGGGAGUAGUUAUGAAGAAGGAAGAAGGAUUUUUCAGCUCCAGGCAGAGCUAGCUGAACUCACAAUGCAGGUCUUUCGUUCAGUUCACAUUCCAGGAUGGAGGUAUAUUCACAUUUCUCUUCACUGGAAACAUUCAUAUAUACAUGUCAUAUAGGAUUAUUUAUGAUUAGGCUUUGAUUAACUUUGCGGGAGUUAUUUUCUUUCGCGCAAAAUAUUAGAAGUAGACCUAGCUGAUUCGGCUCAGAUAUCUUGAUUGUGCUAAUCAUAGAGUUAUUCUAAGAGGCUCCAGCAGAUUUCUGAUUGGUAAAAAGAGGGCAAAAAAAAAUUAAGGGUUUGAUUAGUUUGUUUAGUUCUUGUCUUUUCAGUUGUUUCAUUGCUUAUAUAUAGGUUUUUACCUACAAAGAGAAAUAGGAGAAUGAAAGAAAUUGACAAGGAAAUCCGGGCUUCAUUGAUGGGAAUCAUCAAAAAUAGGGAGAAGGCAAUGAAAGCAGGGGAAGCUGCGAACGAUGACUUGUUAGGCAUACUGAUGGAAACCAGUUUUAGAGAGAUUGAAGAACAUGGAAAUAACAAAAAUGUUGGGUUCAGCAUGAACGAUGUGAUCGAAGAGUGUAAGCUAUUUUACUUUGCCGGCCAAGAGACUACCUCUGUUUUGCUUAAUUGGACGAUGGUCUUAUUGAGCAAGCAUCAAGAUUGGCAAGAACGUGCAAGGCAAGAGGUUUUGCAAGUGUUUGGCAAUAAUAAGCCCAACUAUGAUGGAUUGAAUCACCUCAAAAUUGUAAGUACGAAGGAAAUAGUAUUCGAUAUUGAUCAAUUUGAUCAUAUUAAUCUCAGUUGUGUUUGUAUGUAUGUGACAGGUCCAGAUGAUACUUUACGAGGUACUCAGGCUUUAUCCGCCCGUAACUGCGCUUAGUCGAUCUGUUCUUAAGGAAACGAAACUCGGAAACUUGACAUUACCCGCUGGGGUUCAAAUUGGCUUGCCAAUGAUCCUAGUUCACCAGGAUCCUGAACUUUGGGGUUACGAUGCAGUUGAGUUUAAGCCGGAAAGGUUUGCGGAAGGAAUUUCAAAGGCGGCCAAAAAUCAAGUUUCAUAUUUCCCAUUCGCAUUGGGUCCUAGGAUAUGUGUUGGACAAAAUUUUGCUCUAGUAGAAGCAAAAAUGGCCAUGGCAAUGAUUCUUCAAAACUACUCAUUCGAGUUGUCUCCAUCCUAUGUCCAUGCUCCAACGGCGGUUCCAACCCUUCAUCCGGAACUGGGUACCCAAUUGAUUCUACGGAAACUAAGGUGCAAAAAUAAUUAAUGCCGGCAACUAUAUAUUGUCAAUAAGAUUAGCAUGAUGCCAAUGUAGACUCUUUUAUAAUGAAGUUUAAUGUAUUUAAUUUUGUAUUGAGAUUCAAAGCUUAGACAAGAGCUGUUUAGAUUUUUAAAUUGAGCUCAACACAACUCUAGUUUUAUUUAGAGUAAAGAUGUUUCCCCACAUUGGAAAAUUUUAUAACGCCAUGAUUAGAAUUACAGCAUUAAUGUUGUGGUAAAAAAUAUAUUUUAUAAAAGGCCAAAAGCUUGCUUAGUCCCUACAUUAUGAGCUUAGUGCUCAUUUAAUCUCUAUAUUUUUAAGAAUACCUCAAAACGUCCUUACUAUUAAAUAUUGACAUUUAUACCAUUAUUUUUUUAGCAUGUUUUUACAAUUUUACACUCUUACAGUAAUGUUUCUUUUUUAGAAAUUAAUAAAAAAUUGGAUUAUCAAAUUAAACCCAAAAAUAAAAUAAAAAACAAAAAAGAUAUAUAUUAAUUUUUGUGGAAGCUCAUGUGUGUCCAAAAAAAAAUAAUUUUGUAAAAAAUUAAAUUAUCAAUUUUGUAAAAAAUUAAAUUAUCAAUUUUGUAAAAACUUAAAUUAUCAAUUUUUUUUUAAAAAUUAAUAUUUUAACUUCUCAGCAGAGUGUUCCACAAAAAUUAAUAUAUAUAUUGUUUUUAUUUUAUUUUUUGGUGUUAAACUAGUAAUUUAAUUUUUCUUUUUAAUAAUGUUUAAAAAAGGAACAUUAUUGUAAUAGGGUAAUAUUGUAAAAAUAAGUCAAAAUGAACAAAAGGUAAUGGCAAGGAUGUCAAUAAUUUAAUGAUAGGGAUGUUUUGAGAUGUUUUUAAAAAUAUAAGGACUAAACGGACACUAACCUUAAAAUAUAGGAACUAAACGAACUUUUACCCUUUAUAAAAUUAUACAUAAGAUAAGUGAUUGGAAGAUAAAACAUGUAAAUUAAUAUAAGCCAGUUAAUUAUUAAAACAAUUAACAUGAUUUCUACAUAAUUUUAGUGAAAAAUAAUUUUUUCAUUUACUUUAGCUAAACAAUGAAAUAAAAAUAGUCAUCAAUCUAAGACCAAAAAAAUUAUACUAAAAACAAGUAGAAUAAGUUUUACUGAAUUGGUUUAAGAAUAAAUUCUAUAUUUGUCUUAAGAUAUUUAUAAACUUUUUUUUUUCAUUUUCUAUCAUUGUUUUUUUUUUACUACACAAGUUAACUAAGUGAAAUAAUUUAUCUUAAUGUGGAUUAAACAAAAAAUAAAAUAAAAACAUGUUCUUAUAUUACUAAACACAUAUAUGACAUAUCAAUAAAGUUAGAUUUAAUUUUGAGUUUUACAAGUACUUCUUGUAAUUUUAACCGUGACCCCUUACUUGUAUUUAGAAACUAGUUGCAUUACUGAUGAGGAGAUUUAGAAGGAUGAAAAAUCAUGUCAUCUUACAAUAAAUUCAAAAAACAUUAAAAGAAUAGAUUUCAAAAUCUAAUUUUGAGAAUAAAUUUAUAUAAAACAUCACAUUUAUUACAUAAGACCAAAACUAUCAUUAUUCAAUUUAAAAUAGAAUUAAUAAAUAUAUAAGGUAAUCAAUAUUAUAAUGAGUUUUUAUUUUACAUUUGUAAGUUUUUUUUAAUAACUCUUAUAUUAAUUUUGUAAAUUACACCUAAACUUAUGUUUUAUUUGUACUUAAUAUUGAUUUAUAGUUUUAUAUUAUGUCUUUAAAUUUUUAUUUUGUUCACUACCAAUACAUUAAUUUACCAAUCUUAUAUUAAUUUACUUAUUUUAUCUUUUAUUUACAUGUCUUAUGUUUCAUUUACGCAAUUUAUAUUUUAUUUCACACUAAAUAUUGAUUUAUAAAUUAUAUAUUACAUUUGUAAGUUUUUCUUUUGUUUAUCAAUAAUAUACCAGUUUAUCACUCCUAUUUUAAUUUGUUUGUUUUACCUUCUACUUACAAGUCUAAUAUUUUAUUUACAUAAUUUAUAUGUUAUUUCACAGUUAAUAUUGAUUUACAUGCUUUAUAUUAAAUUUAUAAGUCUUAUGUUUCAUUUACAUAAUUCAUAUUUGAUUACAUAAAUUCAUGACAUCAUCAAGUGACCUUGUACUUUAUAAUCGGGUGAGGCUAUUUAUUUAUAUAUUCUAAAAGUUAUUUUUAAUCCUCUUUAUUUAAUAAAAUUUUAUAUUAUAAAAAUGUCCUUUUAUGAAAUUAGUAUUAAGGAUUGAAUAAUUUUAACUUGAAACAAAUAUCCUUGACACACCCAUGUAUUAUAAAAUCUUAAAUCACCAUCAUCAUCUUCUUCUUCUUCUUUUUAAAUCAAUUUUUUUUCAAUUGGAAAAUUUGAAAGAUUGAAGACUUCUUUGCAAAUUUUUGUCAUGGGUGCACGUAUCCUCACUCUAAUAUCGUUUUCACCAAAUAUAUUUCAUUAACAUCUUCGAAAUAAGAUUAAUGGAAAUUAUAUUUAUGUAACUGAUACCUCAAUGAUAAAUUGUAGCCAAUACAUACUAAAAAUCAAAAUCACAAGAACUAUGAUUCAAUAAAAGAAACGAAGAAUUAUGAUUCAAUAAAAGAAAAAGGGAUAUAUAAUUUAUCUCAAGCCUUUAAUAAGAAGAGAGAAAAUUACUUUAGAAAAAGAAUAAUAAAACAGGAGCCCCCCAAAAAAAAAAUUCAAGACUAUUUUUUAGAUUUAUAUAUUUUACAUAGUAAAAAUUUGAUUUUAAAUUUUAAACGUUGUAUUUGAAAUAAUGAGUGCGCAGGCGGACCUAAGCGGGGGUGUAGCCCGGAUUAGUCCAGGAAAGUUAUUUAUAGCCCUUAUUUUUUUAUUAAUUUUAUAUAAUAAUAUAGUUUUAUUUUUUUUCAUAUUUGUCCCUAAUUUAACUACCCUUAUGUUUUUUUUUAUCAAUUUUAUAAAAUAAUACAGUUUUUAUUUUAUUUUCAAAUAUGUUCCUAAUUCAAUUAUAUUUUCUUCCCAAUUGGAAUUAGUGACUUAUUUCAUGAAAUAAUUAAAUUAUAUAUUUAUUGAAUAAAUUGAAAAGAUUUGGGAGCUAAAAUAUUAUUACUGUUUUAAUUUAUUUAUAAAAAUAAUUUAAUUGAAAAAAUGCCAAUACUUACAAAAACAAAAUAUAGUAACAACUAUAUAUCAACAUUUCUUAACUUUUAUGUGAAUUUUGAGAUUUUAGUUAUUAGUUACAUUAACCAAGAGGAUAAGUUAUAAGAUAAAAUUUAAAUAUUUUGAGGAGUUUUUGAUAGAAAAACCGUCAACAGUAGGUUCUUUAAAAAAAAGGUAGAGUGUAUGACAAAGAAACAAUGAUACCCAAAUAACUUUAUGUUAAGUUGAGUUUAGUUUAUUAUUAAAACUUUUGACUAAUAAUAUUUUAAAAUUUAAAAAGACGAAUAAAUUUUAAUUGUUUAAUUUAUUUAAGCUUGGUAAUUAAGUACUUGACUUCAAAUAUAAAAGUUUUACUACCAUUUUUAAUAAAUUGUGAUUACAUGUAUAGAUUUAUUUUAGCUUGAAAUUCUCAAUUGAUUUACUUAAAGGUUUUAUUGAGGACUUUUUUAGUAUUUUAAAAAGUGUGCAGAGUUAAAGAGAGUAGCUUUUUCAGUAUUUUAUGAGAUCGUGGCUGCAGCUGUUAAGAGAGUAGCUUUAAAAGGAAAUGUGGCAAACAUGGAGGCAGAAGCAGUGCUGCUUGGUAUUCAAGUAGCUCAGAAAACAAAUUGUACCCUAUUCAUUGUCGAAUCAGACUUGAAGGAAGUUGUGGAGCUCACUUUAAACAAGAAGGAAAGUUUAGCUAAAAUUUGUUGGAACAUUGAAGAAAUACAAGCAGAGUUGAAAAACCAGGCCUCGGCAGCUAUUCGUUUUGUCCCAAGAAAGUGUAAUGUAAUAGCCCAUAACUUAGCUAAUGUAGCUCUUGAGUUUGAGGAUCCUAUCUAUCACAUGGAUAGGUGAUUUCCCUGUCCAGCUGUUGAUGUUGUUCUCUUCUUCUUAAUCAAUUGAAUGCUUUACUUUCUCAUAGAAAAAAAAAGAGUGUGUGCAGAGUAAAAAUUAAUUAUUUUAAAGAGUGAGUAUAUUUGAACCCACCAAAUUACUUUGUAAACUCAUCUACUUAUUAAUUCUAUUGUUAAAAAUUUUAUAUUAUACUUUAUAAACCCAUGUUAAUAACCAACAUAUCCUUGA